UGCUUGAAUCAGUGCCAUGUCUUGAAUACUGCUCUUCCGCAUCUCGGUGUGGAGUGUGCGUGCGCCAAAGUGCUUGCUCCUUUGACGCAUUUCGUGCAUCAAUCUUUUGCAGCGGCAAAAAAGUAACAUUGAUAUUCUGUUCUUUUGGGCUGCUUUGCAAAGGUUGUUGAUUUGUUUAACACGCUUCUGUGUGUUUCUUCUU
rnacentral:misc_RNA from 1 species